UACGUAGGGUGCAAGCGUUAAUCGGAAUUACUGGGCGUAAAGCGUGCGCAGGCGGUUUUGUAAGUCUGUCGUGAAAUCCCCGGGCUCAACCUGGGAAUUGCGAUGGAGACUGCAAGGCUAGAAUCUGGCAGAGGGGGGUAGAAUCCACGUGUAGCAGUGAAAUGCGUAGAGAUGUGGAGGAACACCGAUGGCGACGGCAGCCCCCUGGGUCAAGAU
rnacentral:rRNA from 1 species